CCUUUGGCUAGAGGUUUUACUAUAUCCAUCCUUGGAAGAGAAAUAAUAAAAAAAAUUAAAAAGAAGCAGCUAGUUCAAAAUCCAAAUUCCUAUUUAAUGGAUAUAAAAUGUCCAGGUUGCACCAAGAUUAACAGGAUUUCCAUCCAUCCUUAGACAGUAGUUCUUUGUGUAGGCUGUUCAACAGGGUUGUGCCAGCCUGCAGGGGGAAAAGCAGACCAAAAGAAGGAUGCUCAUUUACCAGAAAGCA
rnacentral:lncRNA from 1 species